UCUGAGCUCCGAAGGCACCCUGAACUCAUGAGGCUUUUUCUUGGUUGGCAACGUGCUUAAAAAAGAAAGAAAUGCAAAUGGGCAUUUCCACGUGACUGUAUUCUGCUCAGUGCAGUGUCUGCCUGUGUUGCAGACUGAGCUCCGUGGCAUUGCAAAGAAUGCACCAAAUCAAGAUGUGGCCGUUGUAUGAAGUAAGUUUGUGGUUGCUGUGAAGCUGGGAGGAAUGUUGACUGCCUUGGGGGUUGAGAGGCCUUGCAGCAAGAUGUGGAGAAAUGUGAGGGUGGUCCCCAUCUGCACGAAGAAGAGCAAGCGCUGCGUUCUGCACCUGGGAUGCGGCAGCCCUGGCUUCUCAGAUGCUUGUCUUCCAGAAUGUCUGCGUGUGGAUGAAUCACAACAGGAUCCUGGGAACUUUUAAGAAAGGAAAGAUUGCUUCACGUGUAAUGAAAAGCUAGUGUCCAGAAGAUCACUGCGGCCAGAUGCCAAUUUUGAUGCCCUCGUCAGUAAGACUUGUCCAAGCCCUGAUGUAUGUGAAACUCAUCAGGAGGGAAUGCUGGCAAGAAUCAGCUAACACAAUAGCAGCAAGCUUUCAGUGACAGCGUUAAGGAAGGGUGACGAUUCAGGCUGGGAGCAGGUAUGUCAUCACCUGACUUGACCACAUGUAACUUGAUGCUAGAAAUACACCACGUCCUCCCUCCCUGCAUGGCAAGAGAUGGCUCUCUUCUCCUGCAAAGGCAGCCGAAGUAACUUCUGUGUGCUGACUAGAGAGAGAAAACUUGGUGUCACUCCUUGCAAGUCCUGUGGCAGCCAGAUAUUGUGUGAUGAGAGUUGCUGUCUAUUUACUGUGUUUGGUUUCUUUGCUUUGCCAUGCUGUACACGAGUAAAGGAAAUGAAUGGAAU
rnacentral:lncRNA from 1 species